rnacentral:rRNA from 1 species
GAUGAACGCUGGCGGCGUGCCUAAUACAUGCAAGUCGAGCGAAUGGAUUAAGAGCUUGCUCUUAUGAAGUUAGCGGCGGACGGGUGAGUAACACGUGGGUAACCUGCCCAUAAGACUGGGAUAACUCCGGGAAACCGGGGCUAAUACCGGAUAACAUUUUGAACCGCAUGGUUCGAAAUUGAAAGGCGGCUUCGGCUGUCACUUAUGGAUGGAACCGCGUCGCAUUAGCUAGUUGGGGAGGUAACGGCUCACCAAGGCAACGAUGCGUAGCCGACCUGAGAGGGUGAUCGGCCACACUGGGACUGAGACACGGCCCAGACUCCUACGGGAGGCAGCAGUAGGGAAUCUUCCGCAAUGGACGAAAGUCUGACGGAGCAACGCCGCGUGAGUGAUGAAGGCUUUCGGGUCGUAAAACUCCGUUGUUAGGGAAGAACAAGUGCUAGUUGAAUAAGCUGGCACCUUGACGGUACCUAACCAGAAAGCCACGGCUAACUACGUGCCAGCCGCCGCAGUAA